rnacentral:rRNA from 1 species
AUGGCUCGCCGCCGCGGAUCCAGCGGUUGCAGGAGCGGCAGCCCUCGGCCUGGCACGGGGCGGCCUCACCACAGCGGUCCGUCCCCUGCCUCGGCCCGCUGGCCCCCCUCCCCGAGCACGCGGUCUCCAGAUCCGGCGGCUCCGCCGCGAAUCCUGCUCCGGGGAGAGGCAUCCAACCCAGCUCCACCCUUCGGACCGCGGGGCACGCCUGCGCCUCUCCUCCCCGACGGUCUGCAACGCCUUAAAUCCAUAGUAGUCGCCCUGGUAAGUCAGCUCUGCAUUUCCCACUCCGAGGAAGAAGAGGGAUGGACGGCGGUCAGAUCGCGGAAAAACCUGCGGGCCGGGGAGGGCACGUCGGGCAAUGGCGCGCGCCGCCAGGCUCUCCGCUCGGACCAGUCUCGCGGGCGCACCUCCUCCAAGGGGCGGGAGGCCUUUUUAAGCCGCUUCAAGGGCAAGUGUUUCCGUUGCCUGAGCAAGCUCCACCGCCGCAAAGAUUGUCGUGAUCCUCUCCGAUGCAUCAUCUGUGAGCUGCAAGGUCACUUCGGCCGAGUGUGCCCGCAGAACCCUCGCAACGGCGGCCCAGGAGGGGCCGUCCACGCCAGAAUCCGUCCGCCUCAACCCCGGAUCCCGGUGCGGGAGCGCCUCUGUCUCGACCCGCCGCUCCCCUCCCCUGCCGCGGCCAUCCCUGCUCCUGCCGCGGCCAUGGAGCGCUCCUACCACACCGACCCGUCCAGAAGGCCACGCUCGAGCAACAAGAUGGUGGUCUCCUCUCCGGCCAUCGAGCACGCGGAGUACAUCCUGCGCCAGCACGCGGUGACUCUCACGGCGGCAGACCGCGCGCACUCCACGUCCCCUAUGGCGGUGGGGAAAGCCUUCGACGAGCAGCUCCGCACUUCGCCCCAUCAGCUCCGGGUGACGGCGCACCACCCGGAGGCCUUCCUGGUGCACUUCGACCUGCCGGCGCACCGGGACAACGCCGUCCGUCGCGGCGUCCUCAAGGUUGAAGGCUGCAAGUACUUCAUCUGCGCGUGGAACCCUGACGAUCACGCGGCCAUCCUCAAGCUCACGCUCCAUGUCCGCAUCGUUGUCGAGGACCUGCCCAUGCAGCUUUGGAGCCUGGAGGGGGCGAAAGAGGCCUUCGGCGACUUCGGCCGCAUCGACCGCCUCGACAGCCGCACCAACGAGCGCGGCCACACCAAGACGUUCGCGUGCUGGCUGUGGGCGUGGGACGUCGCGCACAUCCCGACGAAGAGGGCGCUCUGGGUGCUCAAGCGCGGCGCAGGCCGCGUCGACCAGAUCCUAGGCUUCUCCCCGCCGGAAUUCAACGUGCCCCCGCCGCCGAACGUCCAUCGCUACGACCUCCUCAUCCACGUAGAUAGGGUAGAGGAUUGGACCCCGCUCUCGCCGCGAUCUUCGCACUCCAGCCAGAGUGGGCUCCCGUCAUCAGGAGAGGAAGACGACCGCCCGUUGCCACGGACCGAUCCGGGCACCUGGGUGGAGGGAGUCGAAGAUGGCCAGUCCAAGAACAGGCGCGGUGUCACCCGCGUUUCCUCCGGGGGCUGCAGCAACUUCCCGAUCUUGGGAGACCGGCGUGACCACGACGAUGAAGGCCAUGGAAGUCAUGGAGGCCGCUCCUGGCGCGACACGCUCCUGGGCCGUGGCAGGACCGGCAAGAGCAAGAUGCCGGUCUCAGAGGCGCCACGGCACAGGAGCAGGACCCCUGCAUCACCCGCGUGCUCCGCCACCACCACCGAAGAGGACCCAGUGGCGCAGUUCUUCUCCUUCUCGGACUCGGGACGCACGCUCGAGCCUCCCCCGCGCACCGACUGCAUGCAGCUCGAGUUCGAGAACGCCAUGCUGGAGGCUCUGUCCAGCCCGCUCGACUUCAACUCCGCCGACGCUACAUCUCCUCAGAUGUCUCCUCCGACGAUGCUUCCCACUGCUCUGCUCCCCAACGUCAUGCCCUGCGUCACACAGCCCACGACUGCUACGAUCGAGCUCCAGGCCAUGGUGGCGGUCACGGAGAGAGUAAACCACAUGAAGAUUCAGGCGGAUUCUGAGGCGCUGCAGCUCUUCAGCAACAUUCAGCCCCCAGUGCUCACCACCCCAAAGCAGAAGCGCAUGUCGGCUCCUCCCAAGUCCAGGGUCGUUUCUGUUCCAUCCAGGCGCAGUGCAAGACAAGCAGCGGCCAGCUCCACUGUCCCGGUGUCUCAGAGAGCGGCGCUUCGUCUUGUCAAGGAGCUCGGCGAGCUUGGUCCAGGCGACAAGAUGACCCCGGAGAUCGCGGCAAGGCUGAUCAAGCGCUUCAACGAGCCGCUGACGGAUGCAGACAUUCAGACCAUUGCAAAGCUGACAAACCUCGACGUCAACGCUUUGAAGAUCGCAGCGGCAGCUCACGGCCCUGAUGGUGCAGCCAAGGCGGCUGAGUAGGGCAUCAACGCUUCAGCUAAGCGCUCAGCAAUUUGUGAGGUGGCCACAACGCUCAAGACAGUAAUCCUGACGCUACAAGAGACGAAGACGGGACCAGCAGCAACAGUGCCCACGCAUGGCCACCGGCCGCAGCCGCAACCAGAAGCAGCACCAGAGGCCACGUACGGCCACGAGCAGCAGCUUGCCCUGCCGCCCCCACCCCUGCUGCUCCCCGGCGGCCCCUGCUGCCACACCGUCGCAGCUGCGCCGUCCAUGGAGCGACCGACCACCACCAGCCGUAGCCGGGUCUUGGCUGGAAUAGGAGUGUCGCGGUCGCGGCUUCCUCGCCGACAGAUGGAGGGGCGGGUGCUCACCAUAUCCCGCGGCACCGGCGGCCAGCGGCUUCCUUGCCGAGAGAUGGAGGGGCGGUUGCUCGUCGGAUCUCGUGGCGCCGGCGGCCAGCGGCUUCGUCGCCGGGAGAUGGAGGGGCGGGAGCUCGCCGGAUCCCGCGGCGGCGGCAGCUGCCUCGUCGGGAGAUGGAGGGGCGAUGGCUCGUCGGAUCCCGCGACCAGCAGGUCGAGCGACGGUGUGGGGUCGGGAGGAGAGCUGGAUGGAUCAACGAUCUACCCGCAGGAGAUCAUCGAGUUCCCCUCCGUCCUCGUCGACGGUGCCACCGGCGACCUCGACCCCGUCGAGUUCCGCGCCUACGUCUGCCCGCAGCACCACCCCGCGCUGACCGACUUUUGA